AGCCGUCGUCACUGCACUUACAGAACACUACGCCAAGACAAGAGGGCGGCAACGACAACACCCAACAGGGGGAGGGGGCGCAGCAGUGGCUUGACGAGGGAAGGCGAUCAUCACGACGAGGGUGUGCUCUCCGUCUCCACCCCCGCACCUCGUACUCAUCCUUCAGACCCCCCUCCCCUCCUCCUCCCCACACCACCUCCAACAGCCUAUCGAGGAUGACGGACCACCUUAGUAAGCACCACGUCUGGCGGGACUACUACAGGGAGGCGAAGCAGGCGACGAGUGCUCCCAUGAAGUGUCCCUACUGCAAGCGACAGGGCCGCUUUGCCGCCAACACCUACGAAAUAGCCAAGCGCAUCCCCUCUGUCAUGUCCGAGGGAAUGGCACUCUGCCACUUCUGCGAGACUCCGAUUGGGCGGCAGGCGGAUGUGGUGCUGCAGCUGCGCUCCUGGUACUGCGGGUACUGCGAGCUGUGUGUUUGUCCGGCCUGCCAGAAGAAACAGCGGCAGCGGCGCUAGCCGGGCGCACCACAACGGAAUGGCUCGGUGCGUUUGAUAGAGUGCGUGAGCCACGGCGAUUGACAACGCUGAGGUGCGGCAAGUGUUUGUGCUGCAUGCGCGACUCUUCACCUCCCGUUGUCAGCCCGUCGGCCAAGCCUCUUGCAUGCGCGGUGCUUUCUCUCUCGCUAACAACGCCGUCUCCCUCCGCAACCACCCUCGACGGCCUUUUACGGUAUGCGUGCCGUCAGCCCGAGUUUCCGGCGCCGGCGGCUCUGCUCCCUCACUCCUUUGUGUUCCCCUGUCACACAACGGGUGAUGUCACACUGGAGAACACGAACCAAGUGAGGUGAGGGCGUUUCUGUCUUGUGACCCGACGGCAGCGCAGCUGUCUGCCGCGUGCUCUUCCUACGCGUGGCCUUCAGCUCAUUGCACUCACAAAAGUGCACACGUCAGUGAGAGAGACUGCGGGAGGCGGGUGAAGAGGUGGGGAGUCUACGACAAGCUUGCAACCUUCGAACACUCGCUCCCCUACCGCCGCUAUUCUCUCUGGUGUGCAUCCAGAAGGUUCGCAGCGCAACAUGCGCCGGUGGUGAUGACGUGCCCGUGCUGAGUCACGGAUGCACACACGCUUAGACCGACUUCAUGUGCUUCGCUCUCUUUUUUUUCCUUUCGCAUACUUCUCCUCUCCCUAACACUUACGGCUUACUUGUGUGUCUCUUGCUCUCUGUGCCAG
rnacentral:misc_RNA from 1 species